UUAAAAAACAAACUUUGGGGCAAAGGUCACGUUUUGUGCUAUGCAAAGUGCCCAUAGAAUCAUUCGGGUUGGAAAAGAAUCAAUAUCAUCAAGUCCAACCAUCAACCUACAACUACAAAGAGCACCACAAGUGAGAUGGAAGUGUUCUGAGUUACCUGUAGCCCCUUUCCACCAACCCCAUGUGCUGCUGAUGAGGAGAUGCUUUGGCAAAAGAGGAGAUCCUCAGCUGCAAAGAGGUAAUGGAUGGGAAUGAGUGCAGGUGCAAUCAAUAGUUUCACCUGUUUGAAUAGGGCUGAAGAGAGAGCAGCAUGGGUGAAUGCUUCAGAGUGAAAGUUAUGGCCAGAAGUACCUAUGAGACUUCAAGCUCUGCACCCAGUGCCUGGGUUUAAACACUCUGCAUUCAAGCAUGGGGCUCUGAUGGGUAAGAAGCAGUGUACAUCCUUGGGAAUGCAGCCUUAAUUCUGUGUCCUAUCCUGAAGUGCCAGCCAUCAAUGAAGCUAUGGGGGUCUCAGGGACCAAGAAGAUAAAGGACAGCAGCAGUCGAAAGCAAAAGAGCAAGUUGGAGAAGGGGCAGAGGAUGCUGAAGGCAACUCAGGUGAAGGAGCAACCAGAAGAAAUACCAUGCAUGGGGCAGACUGCUGUGCUAAAAGGGAAGAAGAAAGUCAAGGAGAAGCCACUGCAGGAGAACACCAUCAGUAGCUCUCUAAGGCAUGAGGUUGCAGAAGAGAAAUACCUCAGCUCAAGCUGGCAGGAUGGGAUUCAAGUGAAGGAGGAGGCUGCAUCCUUGUUGGAGGAAACUGAUUCCAUCCUCCACCAAGGGUCAUCAGAGGGACUGAAGGAUUCCUCCAGGUCAAAGAGUAAAUCCCAGAGAGAGGGACCUGCAGUGGGACAGCAGCUCUCAGAGACAGAGGACAAAGUUGGGCUCCUCGAGCCAAGUAGAGGUGAUAAUGGUGUGGCUGCACUCCUCUCUGGAGAACCUGGGGCAUCAGGGUUGGCUGUGGAGGUCACUACUUUGAGGGAGAGUGUGGAGAAAGUACUAGACCCCCAUGUCCCAGUGCAGAAAGGGGAUGCCAGGGGCAUGAAAAGAAAAAAAGAAACAGAGAAGAAGCAAGAGCCAAAGAAGCAGAAGGAGAAUUUGUUCAGAAAAAGAGGGAUCAAAAAGGAUAAGUUAGAGGAAAGCCUUGGGAAUGUGAUGGAGGACAUCGGGGAGGAAGAUGGUGCUGAUGGGGACAGGAAUUGUGGAGUCAGACAGGGUAAAGCCAAGCAAAGGAGCAGCAGCACAUGGAGAAGGGCUGAUGAGAGGGAAAAGCAGAAGAGGAGAGGGGAGAAGCGCAAGAAGGUAAAAGUAGAGGAGGAGGAGAAGCAGGGGAGGAAGAAAAUAAAGAAGGAGAAAAAGGUAGAAGAGAAGCAAGAGCUGGGAAGGUUGGGUGAGGAAUUAGGAGUGGGAGAUGUAGGAAAGGAAAGUGAAGAUGAGAAAGGACUAAAGGAGGGCGAGGUGGAUGAACAGGGAGAAAAGGGAUGGGGGCAGAUUCAGAGCAUGGAGACUGAGGAAAAGGAGGUGGGGAAUGGAGAUGUGCUUGGGAAAAAGCAGAAAGCCAGGGAGAAAAAGCCAAAAGAGAAAAAGGAAGAGAAGGGGAAGAAAGAUAAAGAGAAGAAGAGCAAAGAGGAAGAGACCCCAAAGAAAACCCAGAAAAGAAAAUCUAAGAAUGAAGGAGAGGAGAAUAACAACAAAAAGGUUAAAAAGGGGGGGAAUGGAAAAGAAAAGAAAGAAGAAACAGAAAGCAAGUGGAAAUGGUAAGCAUCCUGCAUGUGUUCAGCCUCUGAGCAGAUUUAACUUGAAUGUAAUGAAGCUUUUAGCUUUAUUUCUUAGGAUAGAACUGAAACUUUUCUAUUUUUUAUUAAUAUUUUUAUUAACUGCUUGGCUGUAUCUUCUGAGGUCCUGAACUUGAUGCUUUGGGCAAGAGGAAUGGUGUGAGAGAUAACAGGAGGUUGUGACAACAUAAUAGUAUUCAUGUGAUAUUUUUUUAUGGUACAUACUACUAUAAGAAUACAUAUUCUUCCUGAACUGGCUUUCCUGAUGCCCAACCAUGGCUGGUGAAGGGAGAUGAUCGACAAGCCCCCUUUCCAGCCUGUCACAAACCCUGAGCUGUAUGGAGCUGCUGGGCAUUAUCCCAGUUAUCCCAGACUGGGAUGCUCGUGGGUAUCACCCACAUCAUACAAUGAUAAAACGACUUUGGUUGGGAAGGAAUGUCUUAAGAUCAUUUAGUUCCAACAACCCCAGACCUUAGGAAAUGAUUUUGUGGGGCACUGCGUGUUUUGAAAACAGAUUUAGAAAACAAACAAACAAACAAAAAAAACUCUGUUUCAUAAAAAGCAGUGCUGCUACAUCGCUUAAGUCGUGUGUUAGGCUGAAUUGCCUCAAAGCUCACACACAGAACUACAUUUCCCACAAGGCUCCAUUGCUCCAACACGUGGGGGAAGUGCCACAACCUCAAUCAAUAGCGGGUGUCUUCUUCUCAUGGCAAUGCUUUGGGCAAUGCCAGCGUGCCCCAGUGGGUAACAGGGUGCUGGGACACGAUGCUGGGGGGUGACCAC
ensembl:lncRNA